UAGUAAGAAGUGAAAAUUCACAUCUGAUUUCGGCUCAGACCUUGGUAUAAACUUGCCCUUAUUAA
rnacentral:tRNA from 1 species